AGGGUUGUGGCUCUGUGGUAGAACAUCUGCCUUGCAUGCAGAAAGUUCUGGGUUCGAUCCUCAUCAUCUCGA